AAAUGAUGUACAUUCAUUUCUUUAGCAUGCUUAUACACAAAUCAGCACGAAGGAGGGCCAAUCCCAGCUUCUCAAAUCUUAUAAUGCAGCCGCUACAACAGAGAGUAAAGAUGAAGAGAAGUGAGAAAAACUAAGUACAUUGAGGUGAAUUGGGAAGUCUAAAAACUAAUGGCCACAAGGGAUGCUUUAUCCUGCAUGAAUGAAAUUAAGAAAUCAUAGCUUAAACCUUUUUGUCUCUUUAGUAAGACUUUAACUGCAACAAAAAUUAAAUUUCUAACCCCUUUUCCUCUCCUAGAGAUGCUCUGUCUUUCUCAUUUGAGGGAUGCAGCCAAGUACUUAACCUUUCCAGCAGCACCUCUUUAAUAGGGGUUUGCUCUCCCAAAAAAUUCUGGUACAACAAAGUAUGAUAAUGCUUUUUACUACACCUCCCAAAUCACGUGUAUUAGAAAUUCUAAUCGCAGCCUUACUUUGCUCACUUUUGUUGAGAUGCAUACCCAUUGGCAAAGGUUAAAUAAAGUCUCCCCUCUUGGUACCAGCAUGGCCAUGGUGGUCCACAACACAUUCUUUUUAUUCUUUUCGUAUUGGAAAAUGCUACUGCUACCGUUUUAUCUUCCCGUUUUUGCUUACCGUUUGACAUGGCUAUUCCAUUGUGGCAUUCUUUUUUUUUUUUUUUUUUUUUUUUUUUUUUUUUUUUUUUUUUCUUGUUUGAAACUCAUGAUACCUGCAUCUCGUGAUAGCCAACCCCUGCACUUCGUCAUACCUCCAACCACCCCACCCCAAAAACCCAACUCCGACUGGCACAUUUCUAGCGCCGUCAAGCUCCCCUCAAACAAGCUCACUUCGUCUCCCCUCUGCAUUUUGUCUCCCCUCCACUUUAUUCUGUAGCCAUGUAGCGGAACUCUCUCUCAUCUUGGAAUCAAAGCAAAGAGACAAAGCUCGAUCGAGAACAUAAGAAAAUGAUUUAUUGCUUUCUCACGCAGGACUAUAAAAUCCAAAUCUUUAUCCCAAAAAGAAAAUAGCAAGUUCUGGAACUCACGUACCGAAAACGGAAAAAGAUUUUCCGGAAUUUUAGAUCCGACUUCCGAUAGGUCAAUAUAUCCAGUCGUCGAAGGGCUAUUAUUGGGGAAUAAUCUGAUACAAGUUCUGAAAUAUCAUAACCUGAAGGGAGCUUCGUGUACAGUCUUCCACAAACCCCGACAGAUUCGCCCCCUCCUUCGGGAGACAGGAGACGAGUAAAAAGAUGAUGAAAAGUAUUUCUGAAUGAGCAAAUGGCACCAACACCGCAGGCCAGAAGGCCAAGCAGCCUGACAGCAACUCCAAGUUGCACCCCAAUUGCAAAGCAAUCAUUUCAAGCAAUUUGGUGGAUGGAUGACAAAAGAAUACUGAAGAAGAAUGAUUUUCAAACACAAACCUUCUGUAUCACACUGAUAGGACUUGUUUGUCAAUUGUCACUGCAAAAUUCGGCCUCUAUCACACAACCAUAAUUACCAAAGUCUAGAUAACCUAUAAUUCAAAUUUCCACAAAACAGGUGCCUGAUCAUUUCCCCCUAGAAUAGGUGCAUGCAAGAACAUUGCUGACCAAAGCUAGUUUUGAGGAAGUUCCAGAUGCAGCUUCAAAAGAAUGAACCUAGAAUUAGGCCACUUUACAUUCUUAUGACUUCUAAACUUUUGUCAGGUACCUCAUACUGCACUAGAACCGACAGAAUAGACGAUAAUACCUGAAUUGCAUUACUUGGUGAGGGUUCUUGGGUCCUAGUAAUAAACUUUAACCAAUUGAUAGUGAUAUAUCCUUUCCAGCCACACCAAAUCAACAGCCAAAACCCGGUCCAUCUUAAGUUGUUUUUCCAGUAAGAUGCACAAGCUUUACAGUGGGAAAAAAGUAUCCCCAUUUGAUCUCAGAAGGGUUAUACUAGUUCCAGGCCAAAGAACUUACUUUAAAACUACACUCCUAAAGAAAUUUAAUACAGUCAAUGGGAAUCAAACUGGGUAUUACAAAUUAUCUUUGAUGAAGUCAUUUACACACCUCCAGUUGAUACUACUAGAGACAUUUGGAAUCAAUAAGAAAAUAAAAAUAAAGCAAGUGUAAGAAAACUAUCAGGAGUGUGAUUUAA